UUCGAUAUUUCCUUCUCACUCCGGUAGAGAGAGGGAGCGCGCGAAGAAAGUGGUGCUGUUUGUCAGCAUCUACAACCUUCCCUGCUACGCCGUUCCUUUUGUCCUCCAUGUUCUCAGCUGUGUUCCUCUGAUUAGCUGCUGGCUGAGAAUUGCACAACCGCUGUUUUACCCGCAUCUGAGGACUCUUGGCAGCAUCAGCUCCUCCGGUGCAACCGAUUUGCGGAGGAGGCGAGAGUAAAAAGAAAGAGAGAGAAGAGGAAAUAAGAGAAAGAAGAAAAAGAAGGAGACGAAAAGCUCUCUGGGUUUUCUUUGAUCGGUUGGUAUUUGUGGGAAUCUGAUGUGGUUUUUGUCUUCUUUCUUGGAUUUCUUAUGUGUAGUUACUGUAUUUGUCUUCGGCUGGCCAAUGGAAGAUUCGUCUUCAGCUGACCAAGCCUGUUACUUAGCCUCCAUUGGUAUGGGGAGUUUGCGGAGCUGCUGCCUCUGAUCUUAUAAGAUUUUGAGUGUAUUGGAGUUUACUCUUACUGUACAUUUUCGAAAGCAAGAGGGGGAGGUUGCAAUCAUAUUCUGGUUUUCUACUUAAAGGUUGUACUGAUCUACGAAAAAUGUUAUGGAUGGUUUAAGUCCAUCUAGGAACAGCACUGGGUUGCAAUGUAUGAGAGUAAUAAUGGUUCCAAGUUAUUAGAAGAAGAUGCAGAGAAUAGAAAGAUUUACAGGUGGGGAGUAACAUCCUUCCAAUUCUGAACGUCCUCCAUGUACAUACUGAAACGAAAAGAUUUUGCCUUUUUUCCCUUUGGAGAAGAGCAUGACAGGGGAGAGCUUGGAGAUGUAUAAUGGUGCUCAUUGCUCCUUCCAAACACAGAACAUGGGGUUGAAGGCCAGUUACUGUUUUAAUAGUUUAGUUAGCAGCAAAUCUAUAAUUUAGAGUUGUGAUUUGUUGGAAGGGUGGAGUAGCAUAGAGUCACAGAGUGUUGAAGUUACAAAGGAACUUUAAUCACUUUUGGUGUAAUUACACAGGUAUCUACACUUUGGUGAAGUGCUUAGGCUUAGAUUGUAGGGACAAUAUCUUGACAUUUCUGUAUGAGGGAAUACAUUUUGAUCAGCUACCAUCUCUAGCUUGCAGAGAAAUUGAAAUGCAUACGAAGCAUAGAACUAUCAUUUUAGGGGUCUUGAUAUUUUUCUUCUUCCUGCAAGCAAGAAAAAGCAACGAAGAUAUAGAAAGAACAAAGCAUAUGAAGUUGUCGGAUACUCAAAGUAGGGAGAUUGCCUCCAAGUAUAUGACAAAGCAUAUGAAGUUAUCAGAUACUCAAAGUGGGGAGACUUAUAUGGCAAUCUUUUGUACUGAAAUCACAUCUGCCAUUUUGUGAUGAGAUAAUGGUUACACAUAUUUAUAGCAUAUAGAAUGCAGUUCCUAGAACUGAGUAGACACAAUAUAACUAAACUCAUAAAUAAUUUUGCUUCAUUUUAUUACAUCUAUCUUUCA